GAUGAACGCUAGCGGGAGGCCUAACACAUGCAAGCCGAGCGGUAUUGUUUCUUCGGAAAUGAGAGAGCGGCGUACGGGUGCGGAACACGUGUGCAACCUGCCCUUAUCUGGGGGAUAGCCUUUCGAAAGGAAGAUUAAUACUCCAUAAUAUAUUGAACGGCAUCGUUUAAUAUUGAAAGCUGCGUCGGAUAGAGAUGGGCACGCGCAAGAUUAGCUAGUUGGUGAGGUAACGGCUCACCAAGGCGAUGAUCUUUAGGGGGCCUGAGAGGGUGAUCCCCCACACUGGUACUGAGACACGGACCAGACUCCUACGGGAGGCAGCAGUGAGGAAUAUUGGUCAAUGGGUGCAAGCCUGAACCAGCCAUCCCGCGUGAAGGACGACUGCCCUAUGGGUUGUAAACUUCUUUUGUAUAGGGAUAAACCUACCCUCGUGAGGGUAGCUGAAGGUACUAUACGAAUAAGCACCGGCUAACUCCGUGCCAGCAGCCGCGGUAAUAC
rnacentral:rRNA from 1 species